GCAAUAAACUUUUGAUUAUAUCAUAGAUUAGAUUUGAGUGAAAAUUUUCUGAAGUUCUGUGAUUAAUAGAUCUAGCCUCUUCUAGAUCUAUUUAACUAUUUAAAAUCCGCGAAACGGGAUUGUAAUAUUUCUAAACUUUAAAGACUAAAGAUCUUUUUUUUUUUCUGAGAAUGAAGACCGAUUUCCAAGAUCGAACCACAACUGGUUGGGAAUAGGGUCCGCCUUCCAAGAUUUAGAAAUUAGAUCUAUAGAUAUAGAUAGAAUAGAUCUAGAUGAUAUUACUAUUACUAGAGUCUAGAUCUAUAUAUCACAAGCUUAAUAGGAAAGCCUUGAUGCUGAAACCAAGAAGCACCAGCAUACCACAUGCUGGCUAAAUCAACUAAAUGAUCUUGCCAUUGGCAAUGAGAUGUGAAACUAGAUCUAGAUCUAUGAAAUUAAAAAAAUGUACAAUGUGAAUAAGCAUUUGUAGCAUGUGCAGGGGCGGACUGGCUAUAUGGGCAUUCGGGCAAAUGCCCAGUGGGCCGGUAUCCAAAUGGGCUGCUAGGACUACAAAGUAAUAAUUGGAUGGCUGCCUGGUCGUGAGGUUUGCGCGUUGGACUGUCGUUCGGAUUUAUCGAUGGUCGAGGGUUCAAAUCCUGCCCGCUCCCAUCCCCCGUCGUCCUGCAGGAGGUUUGGACUAGGAAGUAAACUAUCUUCAACUCUGAAGGAACAUCCGAAACAUGAUGUUUCAGUCAUGAUUGCCUUUAUAUGUGGACAAAUAAGCCUAUACAGUAUUUCCAAGAAUGAGAACUUUGCAGGGUAGAGUCAUUUGACUUACAAGCCUCUUAGAGACCACUGGGACAUUGUUCUGGGCUGCCUUUGGUAUUGGGAACUCUCAGGCACCAGCUAUUAAAGAAGAAACAAAUAGCAGUCAGGUUAAUGGUGACUCAGAGAUAACAGACAGCUGCCGGAAGUCAUUGAGGUGGUUGGCUACGUUUUGUAUGGAGUUUACAUUCUUGAUGCUGUCGUGGUCCUGAUCAACUUGUUCAUUGCUAUGAUGAAUUUGAAGACAUUUAGAAUGCCCAAAAGAUUAGUCAGCUAAGGAGCCUAAAAUGUUAGCCUGUUUACAAAUAUGAGAUCUUCCUUGACUACACAAGUACCUUACAGAAGAAGGCUACUCACUUGUGUUUGGAUAUGUCAGCUGUUUUGUCCCUGUGGCCCUUUUCAAGCAUGACAGAUACUAUUCUAAGCAGCUUUUUUCUCUGGAAAUUAUUCAACCACAGAAGCUGUGAGGGAUAUCUGAAAUCCAUUGCUUACUUGUCUAGAAAGACUUCCAUCGAUUGAGUGAUAAAAGAUUAAGCAUACACAACUUUUAGUAGUCACCACAUAACACUUAACAUUUUGAUGCUCAAGACAAUACUGUUCAUGAAUGGUUUAUUUUUCUUUAUGCUGAGAGUGUCCAAGAAGGAUAAGGUCAAAGGUUAAUUGGACAAACAAGUUAAUAAACUUUGUCUUUGAAUCUGAAAUUGUAGAACUUGUAGAGAAAAAAAAACAACUAAGUGUUUUUUAUUUUAAUUUACCAGGCACCAAGUACCUACUAUUCAUUUACUUUGACUGUUGACUUUAAGUUAGAAAUUAAGGAAAGAUUUCUUUGAGCUAUAUUUGUCAAUGACCAUAGGCAUUAAGAGAGUUGACACCUCAUUUUACUUUUCAACAAGAUGAUGAUGUCUUAAAGAAAUUAAGAGCUUUUGAUGGAAUUCUGUGGUUGAAUAACAAAAGGAAUAAUCACAGGAUUCCAUCAAAAUCAUUGCAAUUUGAACAUUGUUGGUAGUGUCAAUGUUAUUAAGUUUACAUAAAGUAUUUAAGUAUAGUUCUUGGUGUUUUUACAUUAUUCAUUUUCUAGUGACCAGGCAGUGUUUUAUACCAUGAAUGAAUAUCUGUUGUAAGAGAUUUAAGGUAUACAACUCCAUUAAUAAUAUCUUUGACAAUAAAAUAUUUUGAUCAAGUUUAUAUUUUUGGAACAGAAUAUGCUAAUGUGUUAACUGCACAUUUUUCUUUUUUUUUUUGAAUAACAACUGAUAUUUAGUUUUAUCCCUUUGUAUCUUUCUACAGUAGAUGCACUGUCAUACUAAAUAGAAAUUUUAAAAAAUUAUAAUUUCUAAUCAAAUUGUCUCCCUUUUAAAAUCAAAUAUCUAAAUGAAUCAUGCUACUUUGAUUCUACACAAUCUACAGGACUACCAAUGUACAUUAGUUUCGAACAAAAAGUUGCUAACUUUAAAUAAUUGAUUAACACAUUUUGAUAUUUAUGUAUACCUUGUAAUAAAAGUGGCAUUCAUUUUACAAUUUCAUUUUUUUUUUAUUGUAACUGGUCUGUGUUAAUUUCUUUUUUUUUUCAAAUUACUUUGUAUUGCCAAUAUGGGGAAAUGGUAUUUCUGGUGUUUCUUUGCUCAGCAAAAACAAGUCAGGAUUUGAACUCAAGCCCCCUUGACAGUGGUUUAUGCCAGAUAUCCAGCAUUUCAUGUAGUUUGUAGGCCAAAUUUGAUACUCACAGUGCCCCAGUGCAGGUAGAAAGAGGAAACCUUGCCUCAUUAAUGUUUGCUGCUCCAGACUUGCUGCUCUCUAUCUCAACUGAUCUAGGAAGCACUACAGCUGGGUUUCAGUCCACUGCAUUGGCUAGAGAGGAUUUCAGUCUCUCAGGCUGCAACUUAAAUGAAGUCUGAUGUGAUUUUAUUUAUAAAAAGUUGUAUGGAUGUCUUUAAGCUACAUAACUUAUCCUAGUCCAAUGUGUUGAUUGACAUAGUUACCAGGUACUGGUACUAAAAAAAUUGCCGCUUUUAUCCUCCCCUUCCAGCAACCCUUAGAUCUAGUUUUUCUAAAUUUCUAGUAGUUUAAUAGUGCUUUUCCAUAUGUCAUUAAAAAGUUAUGUUAAAAGUUAA